rnacentral:rRNA from 1 species
GCCGCUCAGAACUAAAGGAAUUGACGGGGCCGCACAAGCGGUGGAGUAUGUGGUUUAAUUCGAUGCAACGCGAAGAACCUUACCUGGUCUUGACAUCCCGGAGACCCUUAGGAAACUAGGGGGUGCUUCCAUCUGGAAGAAUCUGGAGACAGGUGCUGCAUGGCUGUCGUCAGCUCGUGUCGUGAGAUGUUGGGUUAAGUCCCGCAACGAGCGCAACCCUUGCCUUUAGUUGCCAGCAGUUCGGCUGGGCACUCUAAAGGGACUGCCGGUGUUAAACCGGAGGAAGGUGGGGAUGACGUCAAGUCCUCAUGGCCUUUAUGACCAGGGCUACACACGUACUACAAUGGCCGAUACAAAGGGCAGCGACACUGCGAGGUGAAGCCAAUCCCGUAAAAUCGGUCUCAGUCCGGAUUGGAGUCUGCAACUCGACUCCAUGAAGUUGGAAUCGCUAGUAAUCGUGGAUCAGCAUGCCACGGUGAAUACGUUCCCGGGCCUU